UACGAAGGGGCUAGCGUUGCUCGGAAUCACUGGGCGUAAAGGGUGCGUAGGCGGGUCUUUAAGUCAGGGGUGAAAUCCUGGAGCUCAACUCCAGAACUGCCUUUGAUACUGAGGAUACUUGAGUUCGGGAGAGGUGAGUGGAACUGCGAGUGUAGAGGUGAAAUUCGUAGAUAUUCGCAAGAACACCAGUGGCGAAGGGCGGCUCACUGGCCCGAGUACUGACGCUGAGGCA
rnacentral:rRNA from 1 species